CAAAACACCCUCAGCCCGAGUAUUUCUGUACUUAAGGCUGGUCUUGGGCAGUGGAUGCCGGUGGGAGUUAAUUCUUUCCUGCCUGCGCCCUCCUUAAACUUGCUGCACGACCGCGAGUCCCCUUCUAGCCAGGUCAAUGGAGUGGUAUUACAAUCUUCCAAAAAGCCUGCUGGUAGACCGCUUCGCGGCGUUAAACCAUUAAGUCCCCCUCUGCGGGGUCUUGAAG
rnacentral:misc_RNA from 1 species